AGCCCCUUGCCCUACAAGGGGUGAGCCCUGCUCCGUGAGUUAGCCCUUUAACAGCCGCAGUACUUUGACUGUGCUAAGGUAGCAUAAUAAAUUGUCUUUUAAUUGAAGUCUGGAAUGAAUGGUUUAACGGUGAAAAGCUUUUUUAGUGGUUUUUUUUAAAAGUUAUUUUUAAGGUGCAAAUACCUUUAUUCUCCAAGAAAGACGAGAAGACCCUUAGAGCUUUUAUAAUAGGUAUUUUAGGCCUUUUUUUUAGUUGGGGCGACAAGUAGUUCAAACACAAUUUGUUCACUUAUCUAAAUUUAUACAGGGCUAAGCUACCUUAGGGAUAACAGCAUUAUUUUUUUUAAAGAUUGUGACCUCGAUGUUGGACUAGGGACUUAAUAAUAAACAAUUAGAAUAGGCUGUUCGGUUCGAACAUUUUCCCCU
rnacentral:rRNA from 1 species